AUGUGUGUCCCAAAAAAUCAAGGAGGUAUGGGCUUCAGAGAUAUACAUUGUUUCAAUCUGGUUUUGUUAGCCAAGCAAGCAUGGCGGCUGAUUGAUAAUCCCGACUCCUUAUGUGCUUCUAUAUUGAGAGCUAAAUAUUCCCUGGUAGGGGAUUUAAUGAAUGCAAACCUAAAAAAGGCUCCUCUUUUACUUGGCAAAGUAUUAUGGUGGGAGUGA
rnacentral:rRNA from 1 species